rnacentral:rRNA from 1 species
CGAACGCUGGCGGCGUGCUUAACACAUGCAAGUCGAGCGGCAAGGCCCUGCUUUUGUGGGGUGCUCGAGUGGCGAACGGGUGAGUAACACGUGAGUAACCUGCCCUUGACUUUGGGAUAACUUCAGGAAACUGGGGCUAAUACCGGAUAGGAGCUCCUGCUGCAUGGUGGGGGUUGGAAAGUUUCGGCGGUUGGGGAUGGACUCGCGGCUUAUCAGCUUGUUGGUGGGGUAGUGGCUUACCAAGGCUUUGACGGGUAGCCGGCCUGAGAGGGUGACCGGCCACAUUGGGACUGAGAUACGGCCCAGACUCCUACGGGAGGCAGCAGUGGGGAAUAUUGCACAAUGGGCGGAAGCCUGAUGCAGCAACGCCGCGUGCGGGAUGACGGCCUUCGGGUUGUAAACCGCUUUCGCCUGUGACGAAGCGUGAGUGACGGUAAUGGGUAAAGAAGCACCGGCUAACUACGUG